rnacentral:rRNA from 1 species
GAACCGUCCAAACGUUAUUCGGAUUUAUUGGGCUUAAAGGGUAUGUAGGCGGCGCUAUUAGUCGGGUGUGAAAUCCCUCGGCUCAACCGAGGAACUGCGCCCGAUACUGUGGUGCUUGAGGGAGACAGAGGUAAGCGGAACUGAUGGUGGAGUGGUGAAAUGCGUUGAUAUCAUCAGGAACACCAGUGGCGAAAGCGGCUUACUGGGUCUCUUCUGACGCUGAGAUACGAAAGCUAGGGGAGCGAACGGGAUUAGAUACCCCGGUAGUCCUAGCUGUAAACGAUGAGCACUUGAUCGUGGGGCCCCCCAUAGCCUCUCGGUCGCAGCGAAAGCGGUAAGUGCUCCGCCUGGGGAGUAUGGUCGCAAGGCUG